UACGUAGGGCGCAAGCGUUAUCCGGAAUUAUUGGGCGUAAAGAGCUCGUAGGCGGUUUGUCGCGUCUGCCGUGAAAGUCCGGGGCUCAACUCCGGAUCUGCGGUGGGUACGGGCAGACUAGAGUGAUGUAGGGGGAGACUGGAAUUCCUGGUGUAGCGGUGAAAUGCGCAGAUAUCAGGAGGAACACCGAUGGCGAAGGCAGGUCUCUGGGCAUUAACUGACGCUGAGGAGCGAAAGCAUGGGGGAGCGAACAGG
rnacentral:rRNA from 1 species